ACGCUGGCGGCACGCCUAACACAUGCAAGUCGAACGAAGUAGCAAUACUUAGUGGCAGACGGGUGAGUAACAUGUGGGUAUCUGCCCUUUGGCCUGGAAUAACACGAGGAAACUUGUGCUAAUACCGGAUAAGUCUUUACGGAGAAAGCUUUAUGCACCAUUGGAUGAGCCCGCACUUGAUUAGUUUGUUGGUAGGGUAAUGGCCUACCAAGACUGUGAUCAAUAGCUGAUUUGAGAGGAUGAUCAGCCACAUUGGGACUGAGACACGGCCCAAACUCCUACGGGAGGCAGCAGUGGGGAAUCUUGCACAAUGGAGGAAACUCUGAUGCAGCGAUGCCGCGUGAGUGAAGAAGGCCCUUGGGUUGUAAAGCUCUUUCGUCGGGGAAGAAAAUGACUGUACCCGAAUAAGAAGGUCCGGCUAACUUCGUGCCAGCAGCCGCGGUAAUACGAAGGGACCUAGCGUAGUUCGGAAUUACUGGGCUUAAAGAGUUCGUAGGUGGUUGAAAAAGUUAGUGGUGAAAUCCCAGAGCUUAACUCUGGAACUGCCAUUAAAACUUUUCAGCUAGAGUAUGAUAGAGGAAAGCAGAAUUUCUAGUGUAGAGGUGAAAUUCGUAGAUAUUAGAAAGAAUACCAAUUGCGAAGGCAGCUUUCUGGAUCAUUACUGACACUGAGGAACGAAAGCAUGGGUAGCGAAGAGGAUUAGAUACCCUCGUAGUCCAUGCCGUAAACGAUGUGUGUUAGACGUUGGAAAUUUAUUUUCAGUGUCGCAGGGAAACCGAUAAACACACCGCCUGGGGAGUACGACCGC
rnacentral:rRNA from 1 species